UGGUGAACCAGCGGAGGGAUCAUUACCGAGUUUACAACUCCCAAACCCCUGUGAACAUACCUUAUGUUGCCUCGGCGGAUCAGCCCGCGCCCCGUAAAAAGGGACGGCCCGCCGCAGGAACCUUAAACUCUGUUUUUAGUGGAACUUCUGAGUAUAAAAAACAAAUAAAUCAAAACUUUCAACAACGGAUCUCUUGGUUCUGGCAUCGAUGAAGAACGCAGCAAAAUGCGAUAAGUAAUGUGAAUUGCAGAAUUCAGUGAAUCAUCGAAUCUUUGAACGCACAUUGCGCCCGCCAGUAUUCUGGCGGGCAUGCCUGUUCGAGCGUCAUUUCAACCCUCAAGCCCAGCUUGGUGUUGGGAGCUGCAGUCCUGCUGCACUCCCCAAAUACAUUGGCGGUCACGUCGAGCUUCCAUAGCGUAGUAAUUUACAUAUCGUUACUGGUAAUCGUCGCGGCCACGCCGUUAAACCCCAACUUCUGAAUGUUGACCUCGGAUCAGGUAGGAAUACCCGCUGAACUUAAGCAUAUCAAUA
rnacentral:rRNA from 1 species